AGUUAACCUAAGAUACCCUGGAAAGCAGGGAGAGGUUGUGACUCAGCUCCAGGGUCAGCCUGGAUACCCCCCUGAUGAGGGGUCCCCGUCCUGAUCUUCACAGGCUCCAAGAUGGGUUGUUUGUGGGAUUACUACAUGCUGGGUACUUUCUGGUGGCGGGCCCUGUGCUGAGUCCAAAGAUGGCAUCCAGAGAGGAAUAAGGAGCAGCCCUGACCUCAAGAAACUCAACACCUUGCCCAGAAGCCAGGCAAGGAUGGUGACUGGCCAGCAUGCUGCGG
rnacentral:lncRNA from 1 species